UACGGAAGGUGCAAGCGUUAAUCGGAAUUACUGGGCGUAAAGCGCGCGUAGGCGGCUUGGUAAGUUGGAUGUGAAAGCCCCGGGCUCAACCUGGGAACUGCAUCCAAAACUGCCUAGCUAGAGUAUGGUAGAGGAUGGCGGAAUUUCCUGUGUAGCGGUGAAAUGCGUAGAUAUAGGAAGGAACAUCAGUGGCGAAGGCGGCCAUCUGGACCAAUACUGACGCUGAGGUGCGAAAGCGUGGGGAGCAAACAGG
rnacentral:rRNA from 1 species